UACGUAGGGUGCGAGCGUUAAUCGGAAUUACUGGGCGUAAAGCGUGCGCAGGCGGUUUUGUAAGCCAGAUGUGAAAGCCCCGGGCUUAACCUGGGAAUGGCAUUUGGGACUGCAAGGCUUGAGUGCGGCAGAGGAGACUGGAAUUCCGCGUGUAGCAGUGAAAUGCGUAGAUAUGCGGAGGAACACCGAUGGCGAAGGCAAUCCCCUGGGCCUGCACUGACGCUCAUGCACGAAAGCGUGGGGAGCAAACAGG
rnacentral:rRNA from 1 species